UACGAAGGGGGCUAGCGUUGCUCGGAAUGACUGGGCGUAAAGGGCGCGUAGGCGGCGUUCAUAGUCAGGCGUGAAAUUCCUGGGCUCAACCUGGGGACUGCGCUUGAUACGUGGAUGCUUGAGUCUGGAAGAGGGUCGUGGAAUUCCCAGUGUAGAGGUGAAAUUCGUAGAUAUUGGGAAGAACACCGGUGGCGAAGGCGGCGACCUGGUCCGGCACUGACGCUGAGGCGCGAAAGCGUGGGGAGCAAACAGG
rnacentral:rRNA from 1 species